AUUGAACGCUGGCGGCAGGCCUAACACAUGCAAGUCGAGCGGCAGCGGAAAGUAGCUUGCUACUUUGCCGGCGAGCGGCGGACGGGUGAGUAAUGUCUGGGAAACUGCCCGAUGGAGGGGGAUAACUACUGGAAACGGUAGCUAAUACCGCAUAACGUCGCAAGACCAAAGAGGGGGACCUUCGGGCCUCCUGCCAUCGGAUGCGCCCAGAUGGGAUUAGCUAGGAGGUGGGGUAACGGCUCACCUAGGCGACGAUCCCUAGCUGGUCUGAGAGGAUGACCAGCCACACUGGAACUGAGACACGGUCCAGACUCCUACGGGAGGCAGCAGUGGGGAAUAUUGCACAAUGGGCGCAAGCCUGAUGCAGCCAUGCCGCGUGUAUGAAGAAGGCCUUCGGGUUGUAAAGUACUUUCAGCGGGGAGGAAGGUGUUGAGGUUAAUAACCUCAGCAAUUGACGUUACCCGCAGAAGAAGCACCGGCUAACUCCGUGCCAGCCGCCGCGGUAA
rnacentral:rRNA from 1 species